rnacentral:lncRNA from 1 species
UUGCUAUAAUUAUACUUGCCUUUAUCUAUGGUAGCUUUGCUUGAUUCAUUUGAUUCUCAUGUGGAUGUGUAUGAGUUUUUGUUUAACAAUUGAUGGAGACUAUAAAUUAUUAUCGGUAGAUAACAUAACUUUCAGUUACCUUUAUAAAUAUGAUGAUACAUAUAUUUUAGAGUAAAUGAAAUGAAAAUAAUUUAGAAUAGGUAGGAUGUUAUCAGUAUCAACC